UACGAAGGGGGCUAGCGUUGCUCGGAAUGACUGGGCGUAAAGGGCGCGUAGGCGGCUCAUACAGUCAGAUGUGAAAUUCCUGGGCUUAACCUGGGGGCUGCAUUUGAUACGUGUGGGCUUGAGUGGGGAAGAGGAUCGUGGAAUUCCCAGUGUAGAGGUGAAAUUCGUAGAUAUUGGGAAGAACACCGGUGGCGAAGGCGGCGACCUGGUCCUUGACUGACGCUGAGGCGCGAAAGCGUGGGGAGCAAACAGG
rnacentral:rRNA from 1 species